AGUGAACGCUGGCGGUAGGCCUAACACAUGCAAGUCGAACGGCAGCACAGUAAGAGCUUGCUCUUACGGGUGGCGAGUGGCGGACGGGUGAGGAAUACAUCGGAAUCUACUUUUUCGUGGGGGAUAACGUAGGGAAACUUACGCUAAUACCGCAUACGACCUACGGGUGAAAGCAGGGGAUCUUCGGACCUUGCGCGAUUGAAUGAGCCGAUGUCGGAUUAGCUAGUUGGCGGGGUAAAGGCCCACCAAGGCGACGAUCCGUAGCUGGUCUGAGAGGAUGAGCGGCCACACUGGAACUGAGACACGGUCCAGACUCCUACGGGAGGCAGCAGUGGGGAAUAUUGGACAAUGGGCGCAAGCCUGAUCCAGCCAUACCGCGUGGGUGAAGAAGGCCUUCGGGUUGUAAAGCCCUUUUGUUGGGAAAGAAAAGCAGCAGGUUAAUACCCCGCUGUUCUGACGGUACCCAAAGAAUAAGCACCGGCGAACUUCGU
rnacentral:rRNA from 1 species